UGGUAUUUUGUUUUUGCUUUUGCCACACAGUAGCUCAGAAUUUGAACAAAUAGCCAAAAGCUGGUGGUUGAUGAAUUAUGAACUAGUUGUAUCAACACAAAGCAAGAGUUGGGGAAAGCCAUAUUUAACUUGGUGAGCUGUGGGAGAACCUGGUGGCAGAAGGAGAACCAACUGCCAAGGGGAAAGAGAAGGGGCCUCCAGCAGCGAAGGGGAUACAGUGAGCUAAUGAUGUCAAGGAGGAGUUUCAGGUUAUUCUCGUCAGCUCCACAAAUGGGUGCUUUGUGGUCUCUGCCCGCGUUACCUUUCCUCUCAAUGUACCUUUGUGUGAACUGGGCAGUGGAGGUGCCUGCUGCAGUUACCAUGGAGUUCAGGCUCUGGGCAGCUCAGUCAGGCAAAACACACAAACAGCCAUCAGCCUGUGUGGGCUCAGGGCACCUCUGGACAAAGGCUUGUGGGGCAUAACCUUCUUUACCACAGAGAGCCCUUAGCUAUGCUGAUCAGACCGUAAGCGUUUAUGAGAAACUUAGUUUCCUCCUGUGGCUGAGGAGGGGCCAGCUUUUUCUUCUUUUGCCUGCUGUUUUCUCUCCCAAUCUAUGAUAUGAUAUGACCUGGUUUGGGGCUGUCUUUGGUGUUUAGAAUAUUUGUUUUCUGUCCCAGGAUAUUUCUUAUAAGAACCUAACUUCAAGAGUAGUGUGCGAGUACUGAUCUGAAUUUAAAUUAAAAUUGGCUUAUAUUAGGCAGUCACAGACAGGAAAAAUAAGAGCUAUGCAAAGAAAGGGGGAUUUAAAGUAGUAGGUUCUAUCAUCUCAAUUCAUUUUUUUCCAUGAAAUCCCUUCUUCCAAGAUUCAUUCCCUCUCUCAGACAUGUGCUAGCAUGGGUAUUAUCAUUGAGAAAGCACAGCUACAGCAAAGCCACCUGAAUAGCAAUUUGUGAUUGGAAGCAUUCUUGAGGGAUCCCUAAUCUAGAGUAAUUUAUUUGUGUAAGGAUCCCAAAUGUGUUGCACCUUUCAUGAUACAUUUCUUCUCUGAAGAGGGUACGUGGGGUGUGUGUAUUUAAAUCCAUCCUAUGUAUUACUGAUUGUCCUGUGUAGAAAGAUGGCAAUUAUUCUGUCUCUUUCUCCAAGUUUGAGCCACAUCUCAGCCACAUUGUUAGACAGUGUACAGAGAACCUAUCUUUCCUUUUUUUUUUUUUAAAGGACAGGAUUUUGCUGUGUUGCCCAGGCUAGACUUGAACUCCUGGGCUCAAGUAAUCCACCUCAGCCUGAGUAGCUGAGACUACAGCCCAUCUUAUUUCUUUAAAUCAUUCAUCUCAGGCAGAGAACUUUUCCCUCAAACAUUCUUUUUAGAAUUAGUUCAGUCAUUCCUAAAACAUCCAAAUGCUAGUCUUCCACCAUGAAAAAUAGAUUGUCACUGGAAAGAACAGUAGCAAUUUCCAUAAGGAUGUGCCUUCACUCACACGGGACAGGCGGUGGUUAUAGAGUCGGGCAAAACCAGCAGUAGAGUAUGACCAGCCAAGCCAAUCUGCUUAAUAAAAAGAUGGAAGACAGUAAGGAAGGAAAGUAGCCACUAAGAGUCUGAGUCUGACUGGGCUACAGAAUAAAGGGUAUUUAUGGACAGAAUGUCAUUACAUGCCUAUGGGAAUACCAAUCAUAUUUGGAAGAUUUGCAGAUUUUUUUUCAGAGAGGAAAGACUCACCUUCCUGUUUUUGGUUCUCAGUAGGUUCGUGUGUGUUCCUAGAAUCACAGCUCUGACUCCAAAUGACUCAAUUUCUCAAUUAGAAAAAGUAGAAGCUUUCUAAGCAACUUGGAAGAAAACAGUCAUAAGUAAGCAAUUUGUUGAUUUUACUACAGAAGCAACAACUGAAGAGGCAGUGUUUUUACUUUCAGACUCCGGGAUUCCCAUUCUGUAGUCUCUCUGCUUUUAAAAACCCUCCUUUUGCAAUAGAUGCCCAAACAGAUGAUGUUUAUUACUUGUUAUUUACGUGGCCUCAGACAGUGUAUGUAUUCUCGAUAUAACUUGUAGAGUGUGAAAUAUAAGUUUAACUACCAAAUAAGGUCUCCCAGGGUUAGAUGACUGCGGGAAGCCUUUGAUCCCAACCCCCAAGGCUUUGUAUAUUUGAUCAUUUGUGAUCUAACCCUGGAAGAAAAAGAGCUCAGAAACCACUAUGAAAAAAUUUGUUCAGUGUUUUCUGUGUUCCCGUAGGUUCUGGAGUCUGAGGAUGCAAAGAUGAAUAAGAUAAAUUCUCAGAAUGUAGUUAUAAUCUCUUGUUUUCUGGUAUAUGCCAUCUUUCUUUAACUUCUCUAAAAUAUUGGGUAUUUGUCAAAUAACCACUUUUAACAGUUACCAUUACUGAGGGCUUAUACAUUGGUGUUAUAAAAGUGACUUGAUUCAGAAAUCAAUCCAUUCAGUAAAGUACUCCUUCUCUAAAUUUGCUGUUAUGUCUAUAAGGAACAGUUUGACCUGCCCUUCUCCUCACCUCCUCACCUGCCUUCCAACAUUGAAUUUGGAAGGAGACGUGAAAAUUGGACAUUUGGUUUUGCCCUUGGGCUGGAAACUAUCAUAUAAUCAUAAGUUUGAGCCUAGAAGUGAUCCUUGUGAUCUUCUCACCUCUUUAAAUUCCCACAACACAAGAGAUUAAAAACAGAGGUUUCAGCUCUUCAUAGUGCGUUGUGAAAUGGCUGGCCAGAGUGUACCAACAAAGCUGUCAUCGGGCUCACAGCUCAGAGACAUCUGCAUGUGAUCAUCUGCAUAGUCCUCUCCUCUAACGGGAAACACCUCAGAUUUGCAUAUAAAAAAGCACCCUGGUGCUGAAAUGAACCCCUUUCUUGAACAUCAAAGCUGUCUCCCACAGCCUUGGGCAGCAGGGUGCCUCUUAGUGGAUGUGCUGGGUCCACCCUGAGCCCUGACAUGUGGUGGCAGCAUUGCCAGUUGGUCUGUGUGUCUGUGUAGCAGGGACGAUUUCCCAGAAAGCAAUUUUCCUUUUGAAAUACGUAAUUGUUGAGACUAGGCAGUUUCAAAGUCAGCUGCAUAUAGUAGCAAGUACAGGACUGUCUUGUUUUUGGUGUCCUUGGAGGUGCUGGGGUGAGGGUUUCAGUGGGAUCAUUUACUCUCACAUGUUGUCUGCCUUCUGCUUCUGUGGACACUGCUUUGUACUUAAUUCAGACAGACUGUGAAUACACCUUUUUUAUAAAUACCUUUCAAAUUCUUGGUAAGAUAUAAUUUUGAUAGCUGAUUGCAGAUUUUCUGUAUUUGUCAGAUUAAUAAAGACUGCAUGAAUCC
rnacentral:lncRNA from 1 species